rnacentral:rRNA from 1 species
UACGUAGGUGGCAAGCGUUGUCCGGAUUUACUGGGCGUAAAGGGCUCGUAGGCGGCCAACUAAGUCAGACGUGAAAUCCCCAGGCUCAACCUGGGAACUGCGUCUGAUACUGGAUGGCUUGAAUCCGGGAGAGGGAUGCAGAAUUCCAGGUGUAGCGGUGAAAUGCGUAGAUAUCUGGAGGAAUACCGGUGGCGAAGGCGGCAUCCUGGACCGGCAUUGACGCUGAGGAGCGAAAGCCAGGGGAGCAAACGGG